rnacentral:rRNA from 1 species
CUUCAAUUUAAGAUUUUGUCGGCUCAGAUUGAACGCUGGCGGCAGGCCUAACACAUGCAAGUCGAGCGGAAACGAGUUAUCUGAACCUUCGGGGGACGAUAAAGGCGUCGAGCGGCG